AGCGAACGCUGGCGGCAGGCCUAACACAUGCAAGUCGAACGGACCCCUCGGGGUUAGUGGCGGACGGGUGAGUAACACGUGGGAACGUGCCUUUAGGUUCGGAAUAGCUCCUGGAAACGGGUGGUAAUGCCGAAUGUGCCCUUAGGGGGAAAGAUUUAUCGCCUUUAGAGCGGCCCGCGUCUGAUUAGCUAGUUGGUGAGGUAAUGGCUCACCAAGGCUACGAUCAGUAGCUGGUCUGAGAGGAUGACCAGCCACAUUGGGACUGAGACACGGCCCAAACUCCUACGGGAGGCAGCAGUGGGGAAUCUUGCGCAAUGGGCGAAAGCCUGACGCAGCCAUGCCGCGUGGAUGAUGAAGGUCUUAGGAUUGUAAAAUCCUUUCACCGGUGAAGAUAAUGACUGUAGCCGGGGAAGAAGCCCCGGCUAACUUCGUGCCAGCCGCCGCAGUAACAC
rnacentral:rRNA from 1 species